rnacentral:rRNA from 1 species
UACAGAGGUCCCGAGCGUUGUUCGGAUUUAUUGGGCGUAAAGGGUGCGUAGGUGGUCGGGUAAGUCUGAUGUGAAAUCUCCGAGCUCAACUCGGAAAUGGCAUUGGAUACUAUUCGGCUAGAGGAGUGGAGGGGGGACUGGAAUACUUGGUGUAGCAGUGAAAUGCGUAGAUAUCAAGUGGAACACCAGUGGCGAAGGCGAGUCCCUGGACACUUCCUGACACUGAGGCACGAAAGCUAGGGGAGCAAACAGG